AACGCUAGCUACAGGCUUAACACAUGCAAGUCGAGGGGUAACAUGAUCAAAGCUUGCUUUGAUUGAUGACGACCGGCGGAUGGGUGAGUAACACGUAUCCAACCUACCGUAUACACGGGGAUAGCCUUUCGAAAGAAAGAUUAAUACCCGAUGGUGUAAUGAGAUCUCCUGAUUUUAUUACUAAAGAUUUAUCGGUAUACGAUGGGGAUGCGUUCCAUUAGAUUGUUGGUAGGGUAACGGCCUACCAAGUCUACGAUGGAUAGGGGUUCUGAGAGGAAGAUCCCCCACAUUGGAACUGAGACACGGUCCAAACUCCUACGGGAGGCAGCAGUGAGGAAUCUUGGUCAAUGGGCGCAAGGCCUGAACCAGCCACGUAGCGUGCAGGAUGACGGCCCUAUGGGUUGUAAACUGCUUUUAUGCGGGGAUAAAGUGAGGGACGUGUCCCUUUUUGCAGGUACCGCAUGAAUAAGGACCGGCUAAUUCCGUGCCAGCAGCCGCGGUAAUACGGAAGGUCCGGGCGUUAUCCGGAUUUAUUGGGUUUAAAGGGAGCGUAGGCCGGAGAUUAAGCGUGUUGUGAAAUGUAGACGCUCAACGUCUGCACUGCAGCGCGAACUGGUUUCCUUGAGUACGCACAAAGUGGGCGGAAUUCGUGGUGUAGCGGUGAAAUGCUUAGAUAUCACGAAGAACUCCGAUUG
rnacentral:rRNA from 2 species